GCGCAACCCUUGUCCUUAGUUACCAGCACGUUAUGGUGGGCACUCUAAGGAGACUGCCGGCGACAACCGGAGGAAGUGGGGAUGACGUCAAGUCAUCAUGGCCCUUACGGCCUGGGCUACACACGUGCUACAAUGGUCGGUACAAAGGGUUGCCAAGCCGCGAGGUGGAGCUAAUCCCAUAAAACCGAUCGUAGUCCGGAUCGCAGUCUGCAACUCGACUGCGUGAAGUCGGAAUCGCUAGUAAUCGUGAAUCAGAAUGUCACGGUGAAUACGUUCCCGGGCCUU
rnacentral:rRNA from 1 species